rnacentral:tRNA from 1 species
GCCCCAGUAGCAUAGCCUGGUAAUGCGCUUGCCUCGUAAGCAAGAGAUCGCGGGUUCAAAUCCCGCCUGGGGCU